AACCCUUUUAACCAUAUUAAGGUUAUGCUCCCUCCCAGUUUUUACACCCCACUCCCUGCUUCUAUUAUCUUUAAUCCUCCAGCCCCCUCCUAGCCCCCUUAGCAAUGUGAGCAGGCUUCCCAAACAAAAGGAUCUAUUGCUGCUUUGCUAGCUAUGCUUGUCUCAUUUUGCAGCCACAGAACACCUCAUUUUUUAUGAACCCUAUGAUCUCCAGGAACUGACUGGAAUAAGGGACAGAACGGGCGAAACCACUUUACAGACGGGGGCAGGGUAGAUCUUACUAAUUGGUAAAUGCAUCAAACCAGCUUUUUUUCCAUAAAAUAAUGUAUAAACAGGUUGGAUUUGGUACAAUAAUGUGAUGCUGAUUUUUGCAGCAGGAAAGUGGCUUAGUCCCAUCACCCCUUAUGGAGGUAAUGGUAUGAUCUCCCCCUCCUCCUUUUAUUUCCUUAUAAGCUACCCAGAGAAGAGAUGCUGGGUGGAAGAAUGUUCUGUUGAGAGUGAGUGAGAAAAGGGGUUCACAUCAAGCCAUCUGUUACAUCUUGCCACAGGAAGGGGGGGCUUCCAUAACUAGGUUAAUAUGACAGAAGUGGAGCCAGUUCUGGACUUUGCUUCUUCUGCACGGACAGGUCGUAGAAAUGCACUGCCUGAUAUACUGGGGUCUCCAGCAGGGGUCACACCUUCUGACCUCCCACUUAAGCUAGCAGAAAUGUCUCUAAAUACAGGUCCAGAUCUGCAGUCUCCCUCUGCAGAGUCACCACAAGAACUAACUGACAGCCCUGAAUUAAAAGACACAUCGUAAGAAUUUAGUGUUCCAAUUAGAGAAAGUAUUUUUUCCUGCAGCCAAGCUGGAGAGGAUCAUGCAAAGGUCUAAGAAGAUUUGUGCAAAGCAACCAGCCUUUUAACACCAUAGGAACCUGACAAGAAGGGUCGCAAUGGAUUGUCUGAGAUGAUGGGAAGGGUGGGGGGAGAAGCACUGGUUAGAAUGAGCACCCACUCUCUGAAUACGUGUUUUGCUUGAACACCUAAAUAUUAGUCGUAGGAAUGGAGGACAUUUUGACAACAUAUAUCAAAAUUCACUGCGGGCACAAUAUCCGCAUGUGUAUGAAUGUAGGUAUUAUAUAUAUAUUUAUACACAAGUACAGUUAAUGUAAUCCCUUUGAUAGUCUUAAAUGUGUGUGUAAUCUGGUCUUUGUGUGUGUAAUAUGCAUUUCUUGAUUGACUGUAUAACAAAGAAAGGGGUUAUAAGAAAUCUUGCAAAGUUUCACUAAAAAUAUUCUGGUCAGCUGAUUAAUGAAAUAAAAGCAUGGUGUUAAGGCCCUGCAAAUGUUCAGAUUAAUGCAAGGUGCUGUAUGAGUUUUUGGCAGAGACAAUGUAGAAGAGUAGGAAAACCUGGAAAACAGGUGGAUAUGUGAGUAGAAAGUGUGAGGUUCAGGUUCUUAAAGCAAAACAGAGGAAUCUAUAGAAGAAGCAGACCCUGUGACUGCUCUGGGGUCCAGGAGGUAUAAUGGGCCCAGUGGGGCACUAAGCUGUUCAGUAUACAUUUUUGAAAAAUAUUGCAUUGCUAAAGAUUUGGGACAGGGACUAAAAAGAUUUUGCUGAAUUGAACCCAGUUUACUUUAAGUUAUGCCCCUGGCACAAACCAUUAUUUGAGUAUACAAAACAAUUUAGCCCAGGAAAAAACAUGAUGUUACAGUACCACAGGAAGAAAUAAUAAAGGUGAUGGGGAUCCUGGGUAUGUUCCUAGCAGAGAACAAUGGUGGAACAGAAUGCAGUGUAUGUGAGAUGCCAGGCUUCAUUAAAUGGAGAAAAAUAGGAGAGACGGUGCUAAAAAGACCAGGAUGAGAGUGAGGAGCCAUAUUUACAAAAAUAUUUACAAUGGAAUCGAUUUUUUUUUUCCUCAGUGGAAACAAUUUUGUUUUUGGUGGCAUUUAAUUGACUGAAGCAUCUGCCAAUGGAAUUUAAUAUUUAAUACAACUUACUUAAAAAGUCAAAAAUAAAACCUGGCACCUUAUAGUUUGGCCAUGAAAUGUCCAAUGAACAAUAUUAUAUUGCAAAUGGAAAUUUUAGUCUUUAUUAUGAACAUUUUCUAAUUAGUUCAUGACUUUCUUACCAUUUCCCCGUUAGAGUCUUGUUUUAGCAAAGUAAGGGCAGCCUGCAACCCCUUUCAGAUCUGUAUGAGAGUGCCAUGGGUAACACCAGCAUUCAGAGACCUUUAUUAAAAUACAAAGAGAAAGGAGAAGUAAAAAAGGAAAAGGAUAUCUGGAAAAUUACUAUGGCUAACUUUAUUCCCUUCAACUUGUAUUGAAUAUAUUAUUGUCUUAAAAAUUCUGAGGGUGCAUUCCAUUAAUCUUACUGCUGACAGACAUUAAUUAACUUUUUUUUAUAUCUUAUGAAUUACAAUUAUGUAUUUCACAUUUUUAUAGUAAUUUCAAAGCCAAGUGUCUGUCUCAUACAUGUACAAAAUGUACAAAAUUACAGUUUCUAAAAAAUAAACAGAUUUCUCACUUA